rnacentral:rRNA from 1 species
CAACUUGAGAGUUUGAUCCUGGCUCAGAACGAACGCUGGCGGCAGGCUUAACACAUGCAAGUCGAGCGGGCCCUUCGGGGUCAGCGGCGGACGGGUGAGUAACGCGUGGGAACGUGCCUUUCGCUACGGAAUAGCCUCUGGAAACGGAGAUUAAUGCCGUAUACGCCCGAGAGGGGAAAGAUUUAUCGGCGAGAGAUCGGCCCGCGUUGGAUUAGGUAGUUGGUGGGGUAAUGGCCUACCAAGCCGACGAUCCAUAGCUGGUUUGAGAGGAUGAUCAGCCACACUGGGACUGAGACACGGCCCAGACUCCUACGGGAG